rnacentral:rRNA from 1 species
UACGUAGGGAGCAAGCGUUGUCCGGAAUUAUUGGGCGUAAAGAGCGCGUAGGCGGUCCGAUAAGUCGGCUGUGAAAGUCAGGGGCUCAACCCUUGGAAGCCGGCCGAUACUGUCGGACUAGAGUCCGGAAGAGGCGAGUGGAAUUCCCGGUGUAGCGGUGAAAUGCGCAGAUAUCGGGAGGAACACCAAUGGCGAAGGCAGCUCGCUGGGACGGUACUGACGCUGAGGCGCGAAAGCGUGGGGAGCAAACAGG